CCUACGGGUGGCAGCAGUGCGGAAUAUUGGGCAAUGGGCGAGAGUCUGAACCAGCGAAGUAGCGUGAAGGAUGACUGCCCUAUGGGUUGUAAACUUCUUUUAUAAGGGAAUAAAACGAGUCACGUGUUCCUUUUUGCAUUUACGUUAUGACUAAGGAUCGGCUAACUCCGUGCCAGCAGCCGCGGUAAUACAGAGGAUCCGAGCGUUAUCCGGAUUUAUUGGGUUUAAAGGGAGCGUAGAUGGGUUGUUAAGUCAGUUGUGAAAUCUUGCUGCUCAACCGUAAAACUGCAAUUGAUACUGGCAGUCUUGAGUAUAGUUGAGGUAGGUGGAAUUCGUGGUGUAGCGGUGAAAUGCUUAGAUAUCACGAAGAACCCCGAUUGCGAAGGCAGCUUACUAAACUGUGACUGACAUUGAUGCUCGAAAGUGUGGGUAUCAAACAGGAUUAGAUACCCUGGUAGUC
rnacentral:rRNA from 1 species